rnacentral:lncRNA from 1 species
GUCACUGUUCUAUUUUAAAAUCACCGCUCGGUGCGAUACAAUUACUUUACUGUUCAUUUACAUGGAAUGUACCACACCACGCCCCUGUUGUACUUGUAAUCACGAUACAAUUAUUUUAUUGGUGGAGGUCUAGGUAGACAGAUAUAACCAGUGUAGAGGAGGUCUAUAUAGACAGAUAUUACCAGUGUAGUGGAGGAGGUCUAUAUAGACAGAUAUAACCAGUGUAGAGGAGGUCUAUAUAGACAGAUAUUACCAGUGUAGAGGAGGUCUAUAUAGACAGAUAUAACCAGUGUAGAGGAGGUCUAUAUAGACAGAUAUUACCAGUGUAGAGGAGGUCUAUAUAGACAGCUAUAACCAGUGUAGAGGAGGUCUAUAUAGACAGAUAUAACCAGUGAAGAAGAGGUCUAUAUAGACAGAUAUUACCAGUGAAGAGGAGGAGGUCUAUAUAGACAGAUAUAACCAGUGUAGAGGAGGAGGUCUAUAUAGACAGAUAUUACCAGUGUAGAGGAAGUCUAUAUAGACAGAUAUAACCAGUGAAGAAGAGGUCUAUAUAGACAGACAUAACCAGUG